rnacentral:lncRNA from 1 species
CCUUCUUCUUCUCUUCCCUCUUCAUCACUUAAGGCCACAUUCUAGAGUUACCAAAAUUUGCCAGCAUUUCCAAGGAUCCGGAUAUCUGACACUAUGUGACUGGAGGGGCUGAAUGAGUCAGAUAAUCACAAUCUGGCCUUUUGGAUACCAUCUAGAGAGCUUUCAGGACAUCCAUUUAUCUUUGGACGAAGCAUCAUCCUCUCAUUAAUCAGCUGAAGAGAUCCAAGAUAUAAUGAUUAGAGAAGCAGUGAUGCACAGUGAAUAGAGAGCUGGCUUUGUGGUCAUGAAGACUUGGGAUAGGUCUAAUCCCUGAUACCUCCUAGAUGCAUGACCCUGGGUAAGUCAUUUAAUUU